rnacentral:rRNA from 1 species
AGUGAACGCUGGCGGUAGGCCUAACACAUGCAAGUCGAACGGCAGCACAGUAAGAGCUUGCUCUUACGGGUGGCGAGUGGCGGGCGGGUGAGGAAUACAUCGGAAUCUACUUUUUCGUGGGGGAUAACGUAGGGAAACUUACGCUAAUACCGCAUACGACCUACGGGUGAAAGCAGGGGAUCUUCGGACCUUGCGCGAUUGAAUGAGCCGAUGUCGGAUUAGCUAGUUGGCGGGGUAAAGGCCCACCAAGGCGACGAUCCGUAGCUGGUCUGAGAGGAUGAUCAGCCACACUGGAACUGAGACACGGUCCAGACUCCUACGGGAGGCAGCAGUGGGGAAUAUUGGACAAUGGGCGCAAGCCUGAUCCAGCCAUACCGCGUGGGCGAAGAAGGCCUUCGGGUUGUAAAGCCCUUUUGUUGGGAAAGAAAAGCAGCAGGUUAAUACCCCGCUGUUCUGACGGUACCCAAAGAAUAAGCACCGGCUAACUUCGUG